GACGAACGCUGGCGGCGUGCUUAACACAUGCAAGUCGAACGGAAAGGCCCUGCUUUUGUGGGGUGCUCGAGUGGCGAACGGGUGAGUAACACGUGAGUAACCUGCCCUUGACUUUGGGAUAACUUCAGGAAACUGGGGCUAAUACCGGAUAGGAGCUCCUGCUGCAUGGUGGGGGUUGGAAAGUUUCGGCGGUUGGGGAUGGACUCGCGGCUUAUCAGCUUGUUGGUGGGGUAGUGGCUUACCAAGGCUUUGACGGGUAGCCGGCCUGAGAGGGUGACCGGCCACAUUGGGACUGGGAUACGGCCCAGACUCCUACGGGAGGCAGCAGUGGGGAAUAUUGCACAAUGGGCGGAAGCCUGAUGCAGCAACGCCGCGUGCGGGAUGACGCCUUCGGGUUGUAAACCGCUUUCGCCUGUGACGAAGCGUGAGUGACGGUAAUGGGUAAAGAAGCACCGGCUAACUACGUG
rnacentral:rRNA from 1 species